UGGCUCAGUGGCAGAGCGCUUGCCUUGCAUGCAUGAGGCCCUGGGUUCAAUUCCUCAG
rfam:Dipodomys ordii contig_55714, whole genome shotgun sequence.